UUUUAUUCCAAAAGUUUGGUCCUUAAGGGGUUAAACCCUAAAGGACACAUGAUGGAAAUUUUCCGCUGUGAUUGCCUUUUCUUUUUGAAGCUGUGUCCUUAAAAUAAGUACAUCUGUUUAAAAAUCCAGAUUGUAGUAACAAAAAGGGAACCGACAAACAUGGAAAUUAAAUCAUAAGGACCAUAAAAUGAGAUCUAAUUGCAACCAAUGCUCGAUCUAUAUCUGGCCACAGACUUUUUAUAAAUGUUACACAGUGAACUAAUUUGAGUUAUCCGUUCCUGCUUUGAAACAAGUGAUCAUAGCUAUAUAAUUAGAAAGUUGACAUGCAGUUAUAUAAGCCUGUGAUUUGAUCCAUGCUAGCACAAAAAGCAAAAGGUUUAAAUUAAUUUUAAUGAAGUCAGUAGGUUUUAUGACCUAGUCCCAUAAUACUCAAGAUAAAUAUGUCUGAAGGCAUGUUGUUUGUUCUCA